GUUUCAUUAUUCGUUGUUGUUUGGAAGGAAGCACGUAAUGUCCUUCUUCUCCGUUUGCUUUCUUUGAGGCUAACCCGAGACACUGUAAAGCCGGCCAGCAUUUGAUAGGUGUGUACAGAGCAAAGAUAAGAUGUAGUCGAUAGGCUUAUUUUUGAAGGAUUCCGACUAUCGUGUGCAGGUUUCUCAACUGGAGCGCCACGGGGAGCGAAGAAGCCAAGGAGUGUAUCAAGAGGCUUGAUGCGCAUGCGCGGUGUGACGGCGGCACACUUCUGGCUGCAUCUUUUUUCAUUUCCCAAGAGGAAAACAUGUUGCUGUGUACCGCUAGCUAUUGCGGACACUGGGAUUGCCCUGCGGGUGCGCCACUCAUAUCACCUUGUCGGUCACAAACACCUGCUACGCUGUCGUACCGUCCGGAUGUUUUGCGGCCAGAACCUUUGGAACUCCAGGUAUCCAUCGCUGGAAGGGGUGCUCUCCUUUCGUUCAGGUACAGUACCCAUGUUGGAUCAGUUUUACUACAAUGCCUUUGUCCGUGUUUUCACUGCUCCUUCCUAGCUGCAUUUUGCAUUUCUGGCAUCGACGCCAAAAUAUAAUUAAUAGGAUCUGGGCCAUGAACCUGUAGUUUUUUAUGAGUUUCCACUCAAACCUAUCUAUUUCCAUUUGGGAAGACAGCACAGGAUGUGCGCUCUUACAACUCACUUCGCACUGCUGGUAUUGCCUCUCAUAAAAAAAGAGAUUUGUUCGAUUAUAUCGUGGCGCUGUUUCAGAAACCUAGCGACGGUUUGUUGCUCCACCUUGGGACCUAUCUGUCCAUACAGCUUA